rnacentral:rRNA from 1 species
AGCAGCAGCCACGGUAAUACGGAGGGGGCUAGCGUUGUUCGGAAUUACUGGGCGUAAAGCGCACGUAGGCGGCUUGGUAAGUUAGAGGUGAAAGCCCGGAGCUCAACUCCGGAAUUGCCUUUAAGACUGCCGAGCUAGUAGGUGAGAGAGGUAAGUGGAAUUCCGAGUGUAGAGGUGAAAUCUGUAGAUAUUCGGAAGAACACCAGUGGCGAAGGCGGCUUACUGGCUCAUUCUAGACGCUGAGGUGCGAAAGCGUGGGGAGCAAACAGGAUUAGAUACCCGAGUAGUCCCUGUCUCUUAUAC